AGUGUUUUCCAGACGUUAAUGCUCACUAUCCUUGAUAUUCAUCAUUUUGGUCCGCCGGUGACACACAUAACUUUUCGCAAUGUUGUUUACGUAUUGUGACUUCCAGUGAAGUUUUAUUGGUGUACUUUUAGUUACCAUAUAAAUUUGUUUAGUACCAUGCAAAAUUUGUUUAUUAUAUAAAGGUUAUUAAAAUUGUAUAUUAUUGUGAUUUUUGUAAUUUAUUUGAGAAUUCAAAUCUUUAGUUGGACAGCAAAGGUUAAAUUGUAAAGGAACAUAAGUAAAUUUAGCGUUUUUAAAGUUUAAAAGGAAUAUUUCAUUUAAGCGGACUCUUUGGAGCCGGACUCCUGUAAUUUUGAUCAUUUGCUUUAAGUAUUUUAUUCUUUUGGUAAAUUUAGGAAAGUUCUUAAAAUUGUUUUAAAAUAUCUUUUGAGUUAAUUGUCGUAUUAUUACUUGCAAAGCUUUAUUUCUAGUUUAUCUAUUAAGGUUAGGAUUAUUAAAAUUGUUCAUUGAAGUUCAUGUUUACUGUUAAACGUUUGUCUUUUUUCUAAUAAAUAGAAUUAAAUAGGAA
rnacentral:lncRNA from 1 species